rnacentral:rRNA from 1 species
AGUGAACGCUGGCGGUAGGCCUAACACAUGCAAGUCGAACGGCAGCACAGUAAGAGCUUGCUCUUACGGGUAGCGAGUGGCGGACGGGUGAGGAAUACCUCGGAAUCUACUUUUUCGUGGGGGAUAACGUAGGGAAACUUACGCUAAUACCGCAUACGACCUACGGGUGAAAUCAUGGGAUCUUCUGACCUUGCGCGAUUGAAUGAGCCGAUGUCGGAUUAGCUAGUUGGCGGGGUAAAGGCCCACCAAGGCGACGAGCCGUAGCUGGUCAGAGAGGAUGAUCAGCCGCAGUGGAACUGAGACACGGUCCAGACUCGGACGGGAGGCAGCAGUGGGGAAUAUUGGACAAGGGGCGGAAGCGUGAUCCAGACAUACCGCGAGAGUGAAGAAGGCCUUCGGGUUGUAAAGCCCUUUUGUUGAGAAAGAAAAGCAGCAGGUUAAUACCUGGAUGUUCUGACGGUACCCAAAGAAUAAGCACCGGCUAACUUCGUG